GAUAUAGCAUAAAUUAUCCUCUAAUUAUACACUAGUGUCGCCUCAAUUAUCCUCUUAUCAAAAAUGGUUGUCUAAAUGCAGCGUUUAGUUUCAGUUCUCUCCAUUUCUAUAACAAGAACUUCAUACCUUGCUAUUAUUAUUAGGGUUAUUAUUUACUAAGGGAUUUAAAACUGCACAGCUAGCCAGGAUAACCAUUUUUCAAAGAGGACCAAGGCAAAAGCAGACUGCAAGGCUCAACAUAGAACUAAGGCUGCAUCUUCUUAACGCUGUCCCGAUAUUUUUUGCAACCAAUACAUUACAGAAGACGGCUGUGUUGGUUGUGCUUUGUCACGACAAAGGAACCAACAUUUCAAAGAAACAGGAGAGUCACUGCAAUAAAACAAAAGGAAAUAAUCAAGACAAAAGAAAAUGACAACUUAUCUUAAGGCAAUGAGCACUACAGUGAACUUUGUUGGAAUUCUCGUCAUGUGAUAAUUUUACAAAAAUAAACAAAUGGACAUGA